ACCCAGAUGAUGAGUCCCAAAUAGGACGAAAUGAGCGUCCUAGAU
rnacentral:hammerhead_ribozyme from 1 species